rnacentral:rRNA from 1 species
UGGGGAAUUUUGGACAAUGGGCGAAAGCCUGAUCCAGCAAUGCCGCGUGUGUGAAGAAGGCCUUCGGGUUGUAAAGCACUUUUGUCCGGAAAGAAAUCCUUGGCUCUAAUACAGUCGGGGGAUGACGGUACCGGAAGAAUAAGCACCGGCUAACUACGUGCCAGCAGCCGCGGUAAUACGUAGGGUGCAAGCGUUAAUCGGAAUUACUGGGCGUAAAGCGUGCGCAGGCGGUUUGCUAAGACCGAUGUGAAAUCCCCGGGCUCAACCUGGGACUGAUUGGUGACUGGCAGGCUAGAGUAUGGCAGAGGGGGGUGAGAAUUCCACGUGUAGCAGUGAAAUGCGUAGAGAUGUGGAGGAAUACCGAUGGCGAAGGCAGCCCCCUGGCCAAGUACUGACGCUCAUGCACGAAAGCGU